UACGGAGGGGGCUAGCGUUAUUCGGAAUUAUUGGGCGUAAAGGGCGCGUAGGCGGCCAGGUAAGUCAAAGGUGAAAUCCCUCGGCUCAACCGAGGAACUGCCUUUGAAACUACCUGGCUCGAGGCCGGGAGGGGGUAGCGGAAUUCCCAGUGUAGCGGUGAAAUGCGUAGAUAUUGGGAGGAACACCGGUGGCGAAGGCGGCUACCUGGACCGGUUCUGACGCUGAUGCGCGAAAGCGUGGGGAGCAAAC
rnacentral:rRNA from 1 species